rnacentral:rRNA from 1 species
CCUACGGGGGGCUGCAGUAGGGAAUAUUGCUCAAUGGGGGAAACCCUGAAGCAGCAACGCCGCGUGGAGGAUGAAGGUUUUCGGAUUGUAAACUCCUUUUGUUAGAGAAGAUAAUGACGGUAUCUAACGAAUAAGCACCGGCUAACUCCGUGUCAGCAGCCGCGGUCAUACGGAGGGUGCAAGCGUUACUCGGAAUCACUGGGCGUAAAGAGCGCGUAGGCGGGAUAGCAAGUCAGAUGUGAAAUCCUAUGGCUUAACCAUAGGAUUGCAUUUGAAACUGUUAUUCUAGAGUAUGGGAGAGGUAGGUGGAAUUCGUGGUGUAGGGGUGAAAUGCGUAGAGAUCAAGAAGAAUACUGAUUGCGAAGGCGGCCUGCUAGAACAUAACUGACGCUGAUGCGCGAAAGCGUGGGGAGCAAACAGGAUUAGAUACCCGGGUAGUC